GAUGAACGCUGGCGGCGUGCCUAAUACAUGCAAGUCGAGCGAAUGGAUUAAGAGCUUGCUCUUAUGAAGUUAGCGGCGGACGGGUGAGUAACACGUGGGUAACCUGCCCAUAAGACUGGGAUAACUCCGGGAAACCGGGGCUAAUACCGGAUAACAUUUUGAACCGCAUGGUUCGAAAUUGAAAGGCGGCUUCGGCUGUCACUUAUGGAUGGACCCGCGUCGCAUUAGCUGGUUGGUGAGGUAACGGCUCACCAAGGCAACGAUGCGUAGCCGACCUGGGAGGGUGAUCGGCCACACUGGGACUGAGACACGGCCCAGACUCCUACGGGAGGCAGAAGUAGGGAAUCUUCCGCAAUGGACGAAAGUCUGACGGAGCAACGCCGCGUGAGUGAUGAAGGCUUUCGGGUCGUAAAACCCUGUUGUUAGGGAAGAACAAGUGCUUGUUGAAUAAGCUGGCACCUUGACGGUACCUAACCAGAAAGCCACGGCUAACUACGUGCCAGCCGCCGCCGUAA
rnacentral:rRNA from 1 species